UUAACUGAGUGUCUUGCCUUGCAUUCAUCAGUGUUCCAGCUUCUGCUUUCUAUAGAUUCUUGUGUUUGUACCUCGUGGAUUUAUCAGUUGAACUCUGGACUUUGAAGAAGCUUGCCAAGAAGUUCAGGCUUUGGACAGACACGCAGCACUGACACGCCUACAGACGCAGAGACCUGACGGACAGAGUCCAGCUGGAGAGUCAUGGCAGCAGCAAGCGGAACAGAUGUGGGAGAGACUUUGAUCUAGAUCAAAGUGGUGAAGUUCUCCUACAUGUGGACCAUCAAGGACUUCAUCUUCUGUCAUGAGAAGGAGAUUAGGGAGGUCAUCAGAAACUCUCCUCAGCAGCCAACAAACUCAACCGGAACAUGAAGUCCAAAGAUGGUGGUGCCAUAUUGGAAAUUCUACUCCAACAAACUUCCAACAACCACAGAAACGGACGAAGAGGAGGAGCCAAAGCCUUGGCUAUGAUCCACCUGUGGAUAGUCCUGCUGUUAAGAAGCCUUUCACUUCAGCACCAAAACACCAAGACAAAUUCUUUGUACGUAUAAACCACUGAGCAUUAAAACUUAUUAUGAUUCUGAUUGGAUCCACACACAUGUAAUAAACUCUGAAUAAAAUAUACCUACACAUACAUAGCUAGUUGUUUAAACACACGUUCAGAUAAAACAUUGAAGCGCUCCAGCUCUCUGCUCGCCUCGCUUCUCCCGAUGGAGUCAGUGAACGCGGGUCAACCCUGAGGGAAACCUUGAACACGCUGGAGGGAUUAUCAUCCCAGCUGCCCGUGGAAAGCCUCAGGAUCCGCCUGGAGGAGCUGAACUAAGUGGAGAAGGUGAAGAAGUGGAGCUACCUUCACUAGCCUGAUUCCACUGGGAUGUAGACGCUCCUCUUAAUCUGCUGGGUUGAAAGCUGAAUUGAAGAGUUUGUGAUUUUGACUACAAAUUAAAUCACAUUAACACAUUGUCCUUGUUUGAUGAAGUAUACAGCAGGCUACAUUAAGG